AUUGAACGCUGGCGGCAUGGAUUAGGCAUGCAAGUCGAACGAUGAAGCAGUGCUUGCACUGUGAAUUAGUGGCGAAAGGGUGAGUAACACGUGAGUAAUCUGCCUUCAACUCGGGGAUAGCCUUUGGAAACGAAGAUUAAUACCGGAUGUGAAGUUUAAAUCGCAUGAUUUUGACUUUAAAAUUUUUGGUUGGAGAUGGGCUCGCGUCCCAUUAGCUAGUUGGUAAGGUAACGGCUUACCAAGGCAACGACGGGUAGGUGGUCUGAGAGGAUGGUCACCCACACUGGAACUGAGACACUGUCCAGACUCCUACGGGAGGCUGCAGUCGAGAAUCUUCCGCAAUGGGCAAAGCCUGACGGAGCAAUGCCGCGUGAAUGAUGAAGGCCUUCGGGUUGUAAAAUUCUGUCACCUGGGACGAAAAUUUGACGGUACCAGGAGAGGAAGUGACGGCUAACUACGU
rnacentral:rRNA from 1 species